rnacentral:rRNA from 1 species
AGAGAGGACAUGCGCGCAUAUCAAUAAGCGGAGGAAAAGAAACUAACUAGGAUUCCCUCAGUAACGGCGAGUGAAGCGGGAAGAGCUCAAAUUUGAAAUCUUCAAGGUUCUACCUUGACGAAUUGUAGUUUAAAGAAGUGUUUUCUGUUGGAGUUUUGGUAAAAGUUCUUUGGAAUAGGACAUCAUAGAGGGUGAGAAUCCCGUAUUUGACCAUUAUUUCCAGCUUUGUGAUACACUUUCAAAGAGUCGGAUUGUUUGGGAAUGCAGUCCAAGAUGGGUGGUAAAUCUCAUCUAAAGCUAAAUAUUGGCGAGAGACCGAUAGCGAACAAGUACCGUGAGGGAAAGAUGAAAAGAACCUUGAAAAGAGAGUUAAACAGUACGUGAAAUUGUCAAAAGGGAAGCGUUUGACACCAGUGUUGUUUUCUCGAAAAUCAAUUAAAAAAGGCAGGAUUUUGUGUUGUAUUGACUUUAUCAGCUUUCUGCACUCUUUUCUUGUCUUUUUUAAUGCACUUUUCGUUUAACAAGUCAACAUCAAUUUCUUUUGUUGUAAAAGGGUCAUUGGAAGGUGGCUUUCUUUUCGGAGAAAGUGUUUAUAGCCUUUGGCCUCUGCAAUCGGAGAGAUUGAGGUCUGCAGCGUAGAUCCUUCGGGGUUAGAUACAUUUGUGCUAAGUUAUAGCCUUUCAUAGACAACUUGUUGACUAUGAUCAGUCAUGUAGCUUACUCGCUUAUGCUAUUUUACCUACGCUUAGGAUGUUGAUGUGAUACUGCGAGCA